rnacentral:ncRNA from 1 species
AUAAGUUAUGGUUCGACAUCAAUCGAUUAAAAGGGAAAUAGGUUAAAAUCCUAUACGGUCCCGCCACUGUAAUGAGGAUGAAACUAGCAUAUACCACUGAUUUAUAAAUUGGGAAGGGUUAGGAGUAAAAUGAUUCUAAGUCAGGAGAACUGCCAUAACUUAA